rnacentral:rRNA from 1 species
UGGGAUAUCUCAAUUCAACAUCGAGGUAAUAAACUUUAUUUUAAAUUUGGACUUUUGAAUAAAAUUAUUCUGUUAUCCCUAAAGUAGCUUUUAUUUAUUAAUCAUUAACUUUUUUCUUGAAGUUAAUGGGUCGUAUUUAACCUACCUUGUAACUGUUAAACUGAUAGGUUGUACAGUAAAUAUUUUAAAUUAUUGUUGUUGUGUUUUUGUUUUAUUUUAAAAACCAUCGCCCCAAUGAAACUACCUCUUCUUAAAAUUUAUUUAAGAUCAAUAGUUAAGCUUUAUAGGGUCUUCUCGUCUUACAAUUUUAAACAGCAUCUUAACUGUUAUUUUAAUUUUUUUGGUUAUACUAUGAGACAGUGAGAUUUUCGUUUAGCCAUUCAUACUAUUCACUAAUUAAGUGACGAUUGAUUGUGCUACAUUGUUACAGUUAUGGUUACUGCAGCCAUUUGGUUUUUUGUGAAAGUUUUUUAUCUUUGGGGUUAAUCCAUUGGGC